AUUGAACGCUGGCGGCAUGCUUUACACAUGCAAGUCGAACGGUAACAGGUUAAGCUGACGAGUGGCGAACGGGUGAGUAAUGCAUCGGAACGUGCCCGAUCGUGGGGGAUAACGCAGCGAAAGCUGCGCUAAUACCGCAUACGAUCUGAGGAUGAAAGCGGGGGACCGUAAGGCCUCGCGCGAUCGGAGCGGCCGAUGUCAGAUUAGGUAGUUGGUGGGGUAAAGGCUCACCAAGCCGACGAUCUGUAGCUGGUCUGAGAGGACGACCAGCCACACGGGGACUGAGACACGGCCCAGACUCCUACGGGAGGCAGCAGUGGGGAAUUUUGGACAAUGGGCGAAAGCCUGAUCCAGCAAUGCCGCGUGCAGGAAGAAGGCCUUCGGGUUGUAAACUGCUUUUGUACGGAGCGAAAAGGCUCUCUCUAAUACAGGGGGCUCAUGACGGUACCGUAAGAAUAAGCACCGGCUAACUACGUGCCAGCCGCCGCGGUAA
rnacentral:rRNA from 1 species